rnacentral:lncRNA from 1 species
UUAAUCUCAAAUUUUUUGUGAAUGUCUAUCUUAGUAUAAAACAGUUAUGCAAAAAGUUUCAUGAUCAUAGGAUAUAUUAUCCUACAAAAAUCAUAGAACAUGUAUUUAUUAAUUAAAAGAGCUAAUUUUUUAGCAUCCAAAAAAUACUUACUUUCAUAGUUUCACAUUUUUUCUACAUAGAGAACAUCAUGACAAGGCUACCCAAAAAAUUUAAUGAAUUUAUCAUGCUCAAACAAUUCACUAUGAAAUUCACAGGUUUAACCAUAAAAAAGAAAAAAAGGAAAAACCGCUCAAAGUGGCUCAAAACCGCCAUAUGCUCAUUCCGGGUGCUAAAAGUGACCGGUUUUGAUAGUUGAGGGUGAAAAACAGACGGUUUUGUAGUUGAGGGCUAAAAUUAAACUCGGCCAA